CAGGUUGGUGGUGUUCUAAAGAUUGUUGUCAUACGUUAAAAGCUGCUUGUUAUAGAACUAGGUCAACAGUUUUCAAAAUGGCUGCCGAAAGAAUCUCCACCAUCUAUCGUCAUAUUAAUGGAAGCAAUAAAAUGCGAGACCGACCACGAGAUAAACAUGGGGAAGAAGAACCCAAUGUUCCAAAACGCAGACAAGAAGUUGUGAAAUGGAACGGAUGGGGAUACAAAGAUUCCCAGUUUGUUGCUGACCUUGACCAAAAUGUCAUCCAUUUUACUGGAACCAGGUAUCCACUGGGAAACAAAAAGUUACCAUUAUUCCAGCUUUGGGCGGAAACUGUUCUUGGAGUGUCCAAAGAUUAUUACUGCAAAUCCCAGGCAGAAAUUAAAAAUGAAGUCCUGCCAACUCCAUUAACAAAUAAAGAUUUCCUUGAAGACCUCAAGAUUGUAAAUAUUUCCUACACCGAUGAGCCGCAGGACAGGCUAUUUAGGUCACAUGGCCAGACAAUGCGUGAAAUCUUUAUGUUAAGGGAAGGAACGUUCAACAGAAUUCCAGACCUUGUGGUUUGGCCAACUUCGCAUGAUGACGUAGUUGAAGUUGUUAAGAUGGCGAAUAAACAUAAUGUUGUCAUUAUUCCAUUUGGAGGUGGCACUAGUGUAUCAGGAGCUUUGGAGUGCCCAGAAGAAGAAAGGAGAAUGAUCGUUUCCUUGGAUACUACUCAAAUGAACAAAAUAUUAUGGGUCGAUAAGAAGAACCACACAGCCCACAUUGAAGCUGGAAUAUUGGGUAAAGACUUAGAAUCUAAGCUUGCUGAGUACGGAUUCUGUACGGGUCAUGAACCAGAUUCAGCAGAAUUCAGUUCUCUGGGAGGUUGGGUAGCCACCAGGGCAUCUGGGAUGAAGAGAAAUAUCUAUGGAAAUAUAGAAGAUAUGUUGGUCCACGUGCGGAUGGUAACAUCUCAAGGUGUCGUGGAGAAAAAUUGCCAGGUUCCAAGAAUCUCGUGUGGUCCAGACAUCCACCACUUCAUUCUCGGAUCUGAAGGAACUUUGGGUGUAAUUACAGAAGUGACACUUAUGAUUCAUCCUCUACCGGAAUACAAAAGAUAUGGGUCAAUCAUAUUCCCAGAAUUUGAUGCCGGAGUAUCGUAUAUGAGAGAGGUUGCUAAACAGGCACUCAAGCCAGCCUCAGUGCGUUUAAUGGAUAACGAGCAGUUCAUCUUUGGCCAAGCCUUAAAACCUGAAGCCGAAUCUCUUUUAACUCCUUUUGUCGACGUCUUGAAAAAGUUUUAUGUCACUCGAGUGAAAGGAUUCGAUAUCACAAGGAUGUGCGUUGUAACGUUGCUUCUUGAAGGAAAGAAAGAAGACGUCGAAAGUCUGGAAAAAAAGCUUAUGUUUUUAGGAAACAAAUAUGGAGGUCUAUCUGCAGGGGAGGAGAACGGCAAACGAGGUUAUCUGUUAACUUACGUGAUUGCAUACAUACGGGACCUGGCAUUUGACUAUGGCGUAUUUGCAGAAUCGUUUGAAACUUCUGUACCAUGGGAUAGAGUUUUGGAUCUAUGUAGAAAUGUGAGAGACAGAAUUCUUAGAGAAGCGGAAGUACAUGGAUUACCCUAUCAACCAUUUAUUUCUUACCGAGUAACCCAGACUUACGAUGUGGGGGCUUGUAUUUACUUCUAUAUGGGUAUUAACACACGUGGCCUUCCAGAUCCGAUUCAUGUGUACGAGGAACUCGAGGCGGCAGCUAGAGACGAGAUACUUGCUUGUGGAGGAAGUGUUUCUCAUCACCACGGAAUUGGUAAGAUCCGGAAGCGUUGGUUGAAACAGUCUGUGUCCGGUGUUGGUCUUGGUAUGAUGAGGGCGGUGAAAGAAUACGUUGAUCCAAAUAAUGUGUUUGCCAACGGAAACUUGAUGAUUUGAUCCUUGGAAAUUUGACAAACAGCAAGAGGUAUCGCAUUCCAUCUUUAUAUCAACUUUACAGAUUCUUACAAGCAACUCGUCAAGUGUGGUAUGAUUCUUGGACUGUCCUUAAUAAACACUGUCUCAUCAUCCAGAAACAAACAAACUUAUUUAGAUGUAUACAUCAUUACAUCUCAUAACCUUACUUCUAUUAUAGAACAUCUCGUACAACGGCCAUGAUAUACCAAUGUGGACACUAUAAGUAAUCCGUUGAUAUAAGGUCAGAGGUGAUUGUAAUUAAUUUUGUUAUAAUUUUAAUAUAUUGAAUAAUAAAAAAAAUUUUUGGACAUAAAAUGGCACACGGCCAAUAUACACAAAUGUCGUGUAGUUACACUAUAAGAAGUCUAUAUGUAUAUGUAGAGAUACAUUUUACCCUUUUCAUGUGUUAUCAUGUAUUUUUUACUUUUGGUUUGUUUGUUUGUAAUAAACACAAAGCUACAAAAUGGGCUAUCUGUGCUCUGCCCACCACGGGUAUCAAAACCCGGAUUCUAGCGUUCUAUGUCCGCACACUUACCGCUGUGCCACUGGAGGGCUUUACUUUUGGAAAAUUUGAAGAACAACCGCAAAAAACAAAGCCAAUCUUUAAACAACUCUGUUCAACUAUGUACCAGCUGCCUAGUGUUGGCUAAAAAUACGCUUUAAACAACUCUGUUCAACUAUGUACCAGCUGCCUAGUGUUGGCUAAAAAUACGCUUUAAACA
rnacentral:misc_RNA from 1 species